rnacentral:rRNA from 1 species
CAGGAAGCAGCUUGCUGCUUUGCUGACGAGUGGCGGACGGGUGAGUAAUGUCUGGGAAACUGCCUGAUGGAGGGGGAUAACUACUGGAAACGGUGGCUAAUACCGCAUAACGUCGCAAGACCAAAGAGGGGGACCUUCGGGCCUCUUGCCAUCAGAUGUGCCCAGAUGGGAUUAGCUUGUUGGUGAGGUAACGGCUCACCAAGGCGACGAUCCCUAGCUGGUCUGAGAGGAUGACCAGCCACACUGGAACUGAGACACGGUCCAGACUCCUACGGGAGGCAGCAGUGGGGAAUAUUGCACAAUGGGCGCAAGCCUGAUGCAGCCAUGCCGCGUGUAUGAAGAAGGCCUUCGGGUUGUAAAGUACUUUCAGCGGGGAGGAAGGUGUUGUGGUUAAUAACCACAGCAAUUGACGUUACCCGCAGAAGAAGCACCGGCUAACUCCGUGCCAGCAGCCGCGGUAAUACGGAGGGUGCAAGCGUUAAUCGGAAUUACUGGGCGUAAAGCGCACGCAGGCGGUCUGUCAAGUCGGAUGUGAAAUCCCCGGGCUCAACCUGGGAACUGCAUUCGAAACUGGCAGGCUUGAGUCUUGUAGAGGGGGGUAGAAUUCCAGGUGUAGCGGUGAAAUGCGUAGAGAUCUGGAGGAAUACCGGUGGCGAAGGCGGCCCCCUGGACAAAGACUGACGCUCAGGUGCGAAAGCGUGGGGAGCAAACAGGAUUAGAUACCCUGGUAGUCCACGCCGUAAACGAUGUCUACUUGGAGGUUGUGCCCUUGAGGCGUGGCUUCCGGAGCUAACGCGUUAAGUAGACCGCCUGGGGAGUACGGCCGCAAGGUUAAAACUCAAAUGAAUUGACGGGGGCCCGCACAAGCGGUGGAGCAUGUGGUUUAAUUCGAUGCAACGCGAAGAACCUUACCUGGUCUUGACAUCCACAGAACUUUCCAGAGAUGGAUUGGUGCCUUCGGGAACUGUGAGACAGGUGCUGCAUGGCUGUCGUCAGCUCGUGUUGUGAAAUGUUGGGUUAAGUCCCGCAACGAGCGCAACCCUUAUCCUUUGUUGCCAGCGGUUAGGCCGGGAACUCAAAGGAGACUGCCAGUGAUAAACUGGAGGAAGGUGGGGAUGACGUCAAGUCAUCAUGGCCCUUACGACCAGGGCUACACACGUGCUACAAUGGCGCAUACAAAGAGAAGCGACCUCGCGAGAGCAAGCGGACCUCAUAAAGUGCGUCGUAGUCCGGAUUGGAGUCUGCAACUCGACUCCAUGAAGUCGGAAUCGCUAGUAAUCGUGGAUCAGAAUGCCACGGUGAAUACGUUCCCGGGCCUUGUACACACCGCCCGUCACACCAUGGGAGUGGGUUGCAAAAGAAGUAGGUAGCUUAACCUUCGGGAGGGCGCUUACCACUUUGUGAUUCAUGACUGGGGUGAAGUCGUAACAAGGUAACCGUAGGGGAACCUGC